rnacentral:pre_miRNA from 7 species
GUAUGUGAUAUUGAAAGACCCUCGAAUUCCCGGCCCAUGUACCAAAUGAAAGACCCUCGAGGGGAGACCCUCACUCAGACACUCAAGUCCCGGGACAGCCGCGUACCCAAGAAGACACUGAGACCA